AUGCACGGAGCCCGCUUCUGAGCUGACAAUAUACGUGCUAAGUGCACUGAGCUGUGAGCCUUCCUUUCUGAUUUAUAGACAGUGCUGUUAGAGAAGGCACGUCUAACACAUAACGAGGAUGUGAUAGGAUGAAUUCCUUCACAACAACUGCUCUGCAGAGCAACAGGAAUGAGCCCCCUCAACGACCUCGAGGCAGCCAGGAGAGCACACUAAAGACACUCAUGAAAGAGGACCUCCAGAACUGCUGCAGAAAGUAGCAGGGACAAUGUGUUGCCCUGGAUGCUGUUCUCCAUAACCCCAUGUGAAAUUCUGCCAUCCAUCAAGGUCCCUGCAGGACGUUAGCUCUUGCAUGAAGAUUUCCUUCAUUCUCAUAACUGAAGCAAUCUCUCUCUGCUCAGAAGUCCAGACCCCUGUGUCCAUCAGCUCUGGCUCUUUAAUAUCAUCUAAGCUAUUUUAAAACAACUACUGUAAGCUAAUUUUCCCCAUUUUAUUUGAGGGUAAUAUCACCUUUGUAUCCAGAACAGUAUGUUUUUUGCAGGACUGCAGUAGGAGGAGGGUGAAAUAAAUGAAGGAAGG